GACGAAGCCGUGCGAACGUUAUUCGGGAUCACUGGGCUUAAAGGGGCGCGAGUAGGCGGGCCGCCAAAGUCAGGGGUGAAAGCCUCCGGCUCAACCCGGAGAAGUGCCUUUGAUACUGGCGGCCUAGAGGGAGGUAGGGCUGCGGAACUUCCGGUGGAGCGGUGAAAUGCGUAGAGAUCUGGAAGAACACCAAAGGCGAAGGCAGCGUUCUGGCUCGUAACUGACGCUCAUGUGCGAAAGCCAGGGGAGGCGAACGGG
rnacentral:rRNA from 1 species